CUUUUCAUCCAACUCUUGAAGGUCACAGAAGUGGGAGGUUUUCAAUUAUGAGCAGGCCAAGUGCAAGGUUGGGGCCACCAGGAAAUGACAAGUGGUAGGCCCAGUCUUUCCAGGCUGGGGCACAUCCCCGCUGCUGUGAUGAAUGAGCUCAGCCUCCUUUGGUCAGAACCAACCUGUCAGUCCUUGAUAAAGAACUCACCAAACAUUGUGCUAAUAUGAACAAGGAUAAACGGGAUAGGGUUUCAGCUCCAUUUGCAACACACUGCCUGGGAGUAAUCUGAACAGGCAAGGUGAGGAGACAGGCCCGGAAGGACAGCAGUGCCCUGCAUGCUCUUCCUGCUGUCUCCAGGGAUUUUCCAGCUUAUCCACUUCAUUUCCUGAAAGUAAUCAGCCCUGAAUAUCUCGGCAACAAGGCACUCCUUGGGGAAGUAAUGACUGGGAGGCAGUCUGGUGAAUCAACUCUUCUCAAGCCCAGAGCAGACAUCAGGGGGCCACACGGAUGGACCUUGAAAGCCAUUUGGAGAGGUUGGGUGUGUGUUACUUAGGAUCAGCAUGCUUGCUUAAGGGAGAAGCCCUGGCAGAGGGAGAUGCUUCUUUUGGGCCUCCCGGCAUUAAAAAGGGGAUUCUUCUUGAUGCAGUCUACCUAUGUGGCCUGGUAAAUGAAGGCAGGGCAAAGCCAACUUCCUGAGAAGACCCAAAGUAAGAUGGAUGCCCAUGACUGUGCCUUGAUCUCAUGUCAUUCCCUCUUAUGCAAGAGGGAAGUGCUGUCCAGAUGCCUUCAGACACCACGCAACACCCUACCUUCUCCCCUUCUGCGGUUGAAAUGUUGCGAACUCCUACUGUCAUUCAGCAUUCCCCCCUGGAGCCAGAGUGGUCCAGUUCAAACCUAAGCUCCAUUUCUGACUCCCCAGCCGAACUCCAAGCCUUUAGAAGGAACUGACUACAUUCCGUUCUUCUUUGAAUCCCCUGUAGUGAGCACAGUGCCUGGCACAGAGGGGAUCCUCAAUAAACACCUAGUGACUGAGUAACUAGGAAGCUAAGA